AUUAUCGUGAUCCUCGCUUUAUUGCUCUCCCCUGUUGCAGGGCGAGAUCUUGGUGAAGCUUUUAAUGUGGUGGCUCCCAUUCGAGUUGCUAAAUCUGUGACUGGAGAUUCACAGAGAACGGCUAGAAUAGAUUGCUGCUGUUGGAGCCGGUGGCGUAGGAGAUGCAUGUGUGCAUGUGUUUAAUAAUGCUGAAGAAGUAUUCAUCUCUCUUUUAUCUAAGAUGUGAAAAUUCGAUUUAGACAAGGGCUUAUGAAACUCUUUACGUGCUUUUUCCCUGAAUGUUAUGUUAAUGGAAGUGCCUCUCUCCUUCCUUUUGUGCCACGGCCUUUAACGAAUAUCAAUUCUUCAAAAUUUUGUCUUUGGAAGCUCAUUGCAUAAAAAUUCCUGCCUUGAAUAAAACAGUGCAUCUCAA